GUAGGGUCCAAGCGUUAAUCGGAAUUACUGGGGCGUAAAGCGUGCGCAGGCGGUUGUGCAAGACCGAUGUGAAAUCCCCGGGGCUUAACCUGGGGAAUUGCAUUGGUGACUGCACGGCUAGAGUGUGUCAGAGGGGGGUAGGAAUUCCACGUGUAGCAGUGAAAUGCGUAGAGAUGUGGAGGAAUACCGAUGGCGAAGGCAGCCCCCCUGGGAUAACACUGACGCUCAUGCACGAAAGCGUGGGGAGCAAACAGGAUUAGAUACCCUGGUAGUCCACGCCCUAAACGAUGUCAACUAGUUGUUGGGGAUUCAUUUCCUUAGUAACGUAGCUAACGCGUGAAGUUGACCGCCUGGGGAGUACGGUCGCAAAGAUUAA
rnacentral:rRNA from 1 species